rnacentral:rRNA from 1 species
CUACGGGUGGCAGCAGUAAGGAAUAUUGCACAAUGGGGGAAACCCUGAUGCAGCAACGCCGCGUGGACGAAGAAGGCCUUCGGGUCGUAAAGUCCUUUUCUGAGGGAAGAGGAAGGACGGUACCUCAGGAAUAAGUCUCGGCUAACUACGUGCCAGCAGCCGCGGUAAAACGUAGGAGGCGAGCGUUAUCCGGAUUCACUGGGCGUAAAGGGCAAGUAGGCGGUUGUUUAAGUUAGGUGUGACAUCUCUCGGCUUAACUGGGAGGGAGCGCUUAAAACUAGGCAACUAGAGGGCGGAAGAAGGGGGUAGAACUCCAAAUGUAGCGGUGGAAUGCUCAGAUAUUUGGAAGAAUACCAGUGGCGAAGGCGACCCCCCGGUCCGUGCCUGACGCUGAGAGGCGAAAGCUAGGGUAGCGAACGGGAUUAGAUACCCUCGUAGUC